CUAUUAUUAUCCUGCUGUCAUUCUGGGUUGUGAGUAAACCACAGCUUUUAUUGACUGCAAGAUGAUUUAUCGGAACUGAAUAAAAUAAGAAAGCGAGAUACAUCACAAACACACUGCAAUAAGCUUGUUGAUUGAUGGAUUUGUUAUCUUCAGCAAAUCACAAGAGUUUAACUGAUUUUUUUCUUUUUAUAAACUGAUUCUUUGGUAAUGCAUGUAACUUCAAAUAUACUUAGUAGGGUCAGAUUAAUUAAGAUAAUUGAACUGAGUGUGUUGCUGGUAGUCCGUGGGCAGAAGAAUUCUUGCUUGCCACAACCUGGGUCUGCUGUAUUUCUAUCUAUCCCUAUUUAGCCUUAUCUGUGACCAGACAUAAGUUAUAAACCUUCUGGUAGCUAAUUAUUUAUGUCUUGACUGACCUAUAUCAGCAAUCUCUUAGUCAAAGUUGAUGACAACUGAUCAACAAAGAUAAAUGUAAUAUUUCAGGAUCAAACUUUACGCUCAGUUUCUGUUAGCUAUUGUACUUCAGUAUUUUAGUUUUAGGAACUGGUGAAGGUAACAUGGCAGGAGAGGGUAGGAAAGAUCUUCAGGAAAGCCAAGGAAGCGAUGAAUGGAUUAGCCCAAAGAAGGUAGUAAGCAGAUGGAAUUUGGUGCCUCCUCAGACAGAUGAAGAUGGCAGAUGCUUGCACAAUGACCCGAUCCCUGGUGUUGGGAUAAGGGGAAGAAGCAGUCUAGUUUUAGGAAUAGAGAAGUCACUUAACCUCUCUCUGCCUCAGUCUCCACAUGUCAAAGGAUGUAUUGACACUUACUUCUCUCACAAAGCUAUUCUGAAACGUUAUUAAUGAUAAUAAGCCAUUUUGAGAUGAAAAGUAUUGAUAUUAUUAAAACAAAUACAGCAGUGAUAAGGCAAAAAACAUUCUUACAGACCAGUCAGACCAUUUAUAGGAAAAUGCUCCAAAAAUAGACAUUACUAAUAAUGCAUUUAGGCUGCACUGGUGUGAGUGAGAGCUACAAAUGCUAGGUAUCAUGCAAUGUAUUGUCAAAUCCAUAUUUUUAAAUAGCCA
rnacentral:lncRNA from 1 species